CAUGAACAAAUUUUCAUAUUUUACUCAUCCCUAAAAAAUGUUGAGAAUACUGUGAACAGAAUACAAGAAAGAAGUUCCUGGUUGAAAUGAAAAUUAUGAAUAGAGAGUAAAUGAGCACAUGACAGAUGAGGCAUCCUAAGAAUUGAACUCAAAACGUCCCCAUCCCUUCGGUGACAUCUGAACUCAGAACCUCCCCCACCAAAUUGAGCAUCUGCCACAAGAUCAAAUCCCCUGUUUUUGCAUUUAUCAAAUGCAAGAUUUUAAUUUUUAAUUAAAUAUAUUAAGAUCUAGAUCUCAUCCUUGUGUUGUAUACACAUCAAUGACUUGUGUACUUAGCAAAGUAACCUGGCUUGGUUGGCUUGGUGUAGUCAUGUUGUGCUUCUCUCUCUGAAAUUCAAUAUCAAAUUUUCUUAUUUGAAUUACAAGUUCACAUGAAAUAUGAGUUUCCAGGUGGUAUUCUGAUUGGCUGCUUAUUCAGGCAAUUCAUCCUCCACCAUUUUGUAUCCAUACAUAUACACUCCUAGUCUUUUAUUUAGGUUGUUUACUUACAUUCUUCUCUUGGACAAUAAAAUAUAAUAAUCUUAUGAAUAAUUAAAUAGUUAAAUUUGAAGAUGAUAAAAGAAAAAUAGGGGCAUUCCGAGAAUCAAACUCGGGGCCUCUCGCACCCAAAGCGAGAAUCAUACCACUGGACCAAAUGCCCUGUUUCAACAUAUCAAGUUUAUUUAACAUGCUUUACUGUAAUUCCAAUAAUACCUUCUUGAUGUUGGUUCCAUGGUGCAAUUGAUGACUAAUGUGCAGUUGGUGGAUGUGUAGCUGGUGGAGCUGCUUUUUCAACGGUAGUUGAAUUAUGAAGUAUACAUGACAGAUGAGCAUCCAGAUGGGACUCAGGCUGGCUUCUUAUUCAGGAAUUCAUCUCCAAAUAAUUGGUACAGAUCUAUCUUGUGUUAUAUACACAUUAAUGAACGUGUACCUAGCAAAGUUGCUUUUUAACGGUUGAGGAAAUAAGAAAUAUGCACGUAUCAUGAUGGAUGAGCAUCCAGGUGGAAUUCUAGCUGGGCUACUUAUUCAAGCAUUCAUCCUCCAUCAUUUGGUAUCUAUAAACAUAAACUCCUAUCUUUUUUUUUUUUGGAGAGUCAUAAACUCCUAUAUUUUAUAGUGUCUUAUUUAGGUUGUUUACUUACAUUUUUUUUUUUUUGAAUGAGAUUUGGAAGUUAAAAUUGGAAAU